rnacentral:tRNA from 1 species
GCCGAAUUAGCUCAGCGGUAGAGCUGUCGUUUUGUAAGCGAAGGGUCAUCUGUUCGAAUCAGGUAUUCGGCA